GUGAGUGUGUUCGGCACCCGGCGCCACUGAAGAGCAGCUGUUCAGCACUGAGAAACCAUGCAACUGUGUGCGCCACUGCUGAACCUCAGCUGAACACAAGUCAUUUCAGGUGAGACAGAAGUCCACUCUGCACUUUAGCAGGGAUUAAGUGGUUGUUUACAAUUUAAAGGUACAGUGUGUAGUUUUUAGGGUUUGAAUUGACCUUUUCUGGACCACAUUCAGAAACUCAUAAUUUUGAAUUAGCACUCUCCUCGCCUCUGAAAUAUAUAUCUGUGAUGUUUUAUAAUCAUACAAUUUAAAUUCGUUUCUCUUUUAUGGACUUCUUCAGUUCUCAGCGACUUGUCUACAUAUGUAUUUCUCUUAACGUACAGCAGUUCAUUUAACUUAUUCUCUUUUUAAUUUUUAUUCCUCAACAUCUUAUAUAUUUCAAGAUAUACAAAACCGUAAUUCCAGCACUUACUUGUUUUUUAUUAUUAUUAUUUUUGUUUUAGCUCCAGAAUUUGUUAUUUAAGCACAGUAAUAGGAAAGGGGGUGUUUGUGGUGUGUUUCCUUUGUAUAAUCUGUAUAAAACUAAUAAAAUAUUGUUGAGUAAAAAGGGUUUGAACUUGACAAAUGGAGGAUUGUUCUUAUCAUGCAUCACAGGAGCUUCAUGUUCUAUAGGAAAAAAAACAAGGGUGAAUUUCAGUGUAGAGUCUGAGAGUCUUUAUUUUUGUAAACUGAGAGAAUUUAAGGUAGUCUUUUGUUUAUCUUAGUUGUUUAUUCUUAUAUUUAUACUUUUAUAGUUUAUUCUCAUGCACCGUAUAAGAGAGGACUGAAAUUUCAUCUGUGCUGUAUGUUUAACAUGUAUAGCAUAUUUGACAAUAAAGUUGACUUUGACUCUGAUAGUUAAA